CCCUUAGAUGUUCUGGGCUGCACGCGCGCUACACUGAAGCUAUCAACACGUUUUCCCUCCCUGAGAAGGGCGGGUAACCUUUUGAAUCAGCUUCGUGGUAGGGAUCGGGGCUUGCAAUUGUUCCCCGUGAACCAGGAAUUCCUAGUAGACGCGAGUCAUAAGCUCGCAUCGAUUAAGUCCCUGCCCUUUGUACACACCGCCCGUCGCUACUACCGAUUGAACGUUUUAGUGAGGCAUUUGGACCGACGCAUCUCAGUUUAACCGCUGGUUUGUGAUGGAAAGACUUCCAAACUUGAGCGUUUAGAGGAAGUAAAAGUCGUAACA
rnacentral:rRNA from 1 species